UAUCAAAAACACUAACCUCACAUUAUAAUACCAUACAAUGGCUUCAGGGCUGAAAGUACUGAGCUCUGGCAAUUCUAUUCUGUGGCAGGUGAAGGAAUGCACGUCAGCCUUGCUGCGUUUUGUGAAGAGGCCUCAUUUGAGCGAGCAAAAAAAUGGGUGCUAGAACUGAAAUGACAAGGGCUGUAAGACAUCAUUUUGCUCUUUGUGCUGGCUUGCUGUAAGAAAAUGGAUCCUUAUUUACUGGCUAUCAUUUUC